AAUGAACGCUGGCGGCAUGCCUAACACAUGCAAGUCGAACGAAGGCUUCGGCCUUAGUGGCGCACGGGUGCGUAACGCGUGGGAAUCUGCCCUUGGGCUCGGAAUAACAGUUAGAAAUGACUGCUAAUACCGGAUGAUGUCGUAAGACCAAAGAUUUAUCGCCCAAGGAUGAGCCCGCGUAGGAUUAGCUAGUUGGUGGGGUAAAGGCCUACCAAGGCGACGAUCCUUAGCUGGUCUGAGAGGAUGAUCAGCCACACUGGGACUGAGACACGGCCCAGACUCCUACGGGAGGCAGCAGUGGGGAAUAUUGGACAAUGGGCGAAAGCCUGAUCCAGCAAUGCCGCGUGAGUGAUGAAGGCCUUAGGGUUGUAAAGCUCUUUUACCCGGGAUGAUAAUGACAGUACCGGGAGAAUAAGCUCCGGCUAACUUCGUG
rnacentral:rRNA from 1 species